AGGAGUUUAGGUUAAUCUAGACCAAGAGCCUUCAAAGCCCUAAGCAAGUACAAUAUACUUAACUCCUG
rnacentral:tRNA from 3 species